rnacentral:rRNA from 1 species
GGGGAAUAUUGCGCAAUGGGGGAAACCCUGACGCAGCAACGCCGCGUGAGUGGAGAAGGUCUUCGGAUUGUAAAGCUCUGUCUUCUCUGACGAUGAUGACGGUAAGAGAGGAGGAAGCCACGGCUAACUACGUGCCAGCAGCCGCGGUAAUACGUAGGUGGCGAACGUUGUCCGGAUUUACUGGGCGUAAAGGAUGCGUAGGCGGAUAUAUAAGUGGGAUGUGAAAUACCCGGGCUUAACUUGGGUGCUGCAUUCCAAACUGUAUAUCUAGAGUGCAGGAGAGGAAAGUGGAAUUCCUAGUGUAGCGGUGAAAUGCGUAGAGAUUAGGAAGAACACCAGUGGCGAAGGCGACUUUCUGGACUGUAACUGACGCUGAGGCAUGAAAGCGUGGGGAGCAAAC